UACGAAGGGGGCUAGCGUUGCUCGGAAUUACUGGGCGUAAAGCGCACGUAGGCGGUCUUUUAAGUCGGGGGUGAAAUCCUGGAGCUCAACUCCAGAACUGCCUUCGAUACUGGAAGACUCGAGUCCGGGAGAGGUGAGUGGAACUGCGAGUGUAGAGGUGAAAUUCGUAGAUAUUCGCAAGAACACCAGUGGCGAAGGCGGCUCACUGGCCCGGUGCUGACGCUGAGGUGCGAAAGCGUGGGGAGCAAACAGG
rnacentral:rRNA from 1 species